CUGCCAAGACUCGACCUAUAUCUCACUCUAAGCACAACCCAAAUUGGUUUAAGAUCAGGAUGGGCUAUUAUGAUUACUUGAAUGUUAAAAUGCAUUCUUCAUGCAAAAUAAUAAAAUUGUUGUAGCUAUAUUUUUGGUUAAAAAAGACCAUGCAAGUUGGUCUUAGCAUAUUCUUUUUAUUUUACUCUGGUAUAUGUUUUGUAUUAUCAAUUUCUUACAUUAAAACAAAAUCUUCAUUUAAGAAAGAUGCUUGAAGGAUGGAUUA